AGACAUAUGUACCACUAUUUGUAAUACUUUAAAUAAUUAAAUAAAUAAAACAAAUCAUUACAAAAAUAACAAAAAGAAAAAAGAAAAUGGCAGUUCUGCACCCUGCUUCAUACAUUACACUCAAAAGGGAAGACAUGAGCUGUUUACAUGAAACCUGUUGGUGAUAGAUUAGGGAGGUGGGAGAGAGCAAUGUGAGGGUUUCUCUGGGAUUGCAUAAAACAAAUAGAGACAUU